UAUAAAAUGAAUGUAUUGUAAUAGGUAUUAAAUGUCUUCCUCGUAGGGCUUGAUAACCUCUGAAAAUGAGAAAUGUGAUCAUCCAGUGGGAGGUAUUCACUAUGAAAUGUGCAUAGAAUGUCCACCUACUUUCAGUGACAAGAGAGAACAAAUAUCAGAAAAUCCAACAGAAGCCACAGAUAUUGGUAAUUUGUUUAAUAAAUAAUUUUUAGUAAGUAGUUAACACUGGCAGGAAUGAGAAAAGCUCAUUUGCCAUUGUGAAAUGACACUUGCCAAGAAUAAAACAUGAUUUUCCAAAGUUGCUUGGACUAGUCAUGAAAUAAAUGAAAUACUUAAUUCUAUUUCACAUUGAGAUUAAAAACUAAAAUAGAAAACUGCAGUAUAAAAAAUCUUUU
rnacentral:sRNA from 1 species